rnacentral:rRNA from 1 species
UACGUAGGGGGCAAGCGUUGUCCGGAAUCAUUGGGCGUAAAGAGCGUGUAGGCGGCCCGGUAAGUCCGCUGUGAAAGUCCAGGGCUCAACCCUGGGAUGCCGGUGGAUACUGUCGGGCUCGAGUCCGGAAGAGGAGUGUGGAAUUCCUGGUGUAGCGGUGAAAUGCGCAGAUAUCAGGAGGAACACCCGUGGCGAAGGCGGCUCUCUGGGACGGUACUGACGCUGAGACGCGAAAGCGUGGGGAGCGAACAGGG